UGGGGAAUAUUGGACAAUGGGGGAGACCCUGAUCCAGCCAUGCCGCGUGAGUGAUGACGGCCUUCGGGUUGUAAAGCUCUUUUACAUGGGAAGAUAAUGACGGUACCAUGAGAAUAAGCACCGGCAAACUUCGUGCCAGCAGCCGCGGUAAUACGAAGGGUGCAAGCGUUGUUCGGAAUUACUGGGUGUAAAGGGCGUGCAGGCGGACUGUCAAGUUAGUGGUGAAACCCCUGGGCUUAACCUGGGAACUGCCAUUGAUACUGAUAGUCUUGAGUAUCGGAGAGGAUAACGGAAUAUCCAGUGUAGAGGUGAAAUUCGUAGAUAUUGGAUAGAACACCGGUGGCGAAGGCGGUUAUCUGGCCGGUUACUGACGCUGAGGCGCGAGAGCGUGGGGAGCAAACAGGAUUAGAUACCCUGGUAGU
rnacentral:rRNA from 1 species